UUUUGGCCACUGUAGAUUGCAAUGGAGUAUGCCACGUCGGAUGAUUGUUGGUGGGCCAUGGUGUGUGGUUUUUGCGUGGGAUAAUUUCUUUGUUUUAUUUUUAUUUUUUUUGCGUUCUGUGUCUAGAAGAAGCUCUGCGAGACUGCAUAUGCUAGGGUUGUGAUUCAGAAAAUUCAUUGAAUCUGGUCGAAUUCCAUCCUUGUGUUAUUGAGAGGUUCAUCUGGGGUGGGUUGAUCUAGUGGAGUGGCCUAUAAAUUGGGGAUGGGGAAGACUUGCGAUGCACAGGUUGAGAACAACAUGGUGUUGUUUGGUUUGACGUGAUGGUGUAUAACGAUAAACAUGGAGAAGGUUGCAGCUCAGGCAACUUUAGUGGAUUACUGGCUGUGAUGCAAUGGGAAAAAUGCACAUGGGAUUUUGGAGGUGUUUGCUAUUUCUUUAUUUAUUCCUGAUCUUUAAGGCUGAGAAAGCAAGUACAAAAUGUUGUCAAAAUUGCCUUGGUGAUCUUUGCUGAUGCUUGCACUUUUUUUGGUUAUUAACUGGGAUGGGAUGAACUUAUGGCUCUUGAUUAUCUGGUUGUUGAUGAAGUAGCAUUUUUAGAUAGGACAUAUGUAUUGAAGUACCUAAGAGAGGAUAC